rnacentral:rRNA from 1 species
UACGUAGGUGGCAAGCGUUGUCCGGAUUUAUUGGGUUUAAAGGGUGCGUAGGCGGCCCUGUAAGUCAGUGCUGAAAUAUCCCAGCUUAACUGGGAGGGUGGCAUUGAUACUGCGGGGCUAGAGUACAGAUGAGGUAGGCGGAAUUGACGGUGUAGCGGUGAAAUGUUUAGAUAUCGUCAAGAACACCUAUAGCGAAGGCAGCUUACUAGGCUGUAACUGACGCUGAGGCACGAAAGUGUGGGGAUCAAACAGG